GUCUGAAGCCAUACCACCCUAAAUGUGCCCAAUCUCAUCUGGUCUCAGAAGCUAAGCAGGGUCGGGCCUGAUUAAGUACUUAGAUGGGAGACAAAUUGUCAAAAGCGGCUACUCAGAGA
rnacentral:rRNA from 1 species